rnacentral:rRNA from 1 species
AGUGAACGCUGGCGGUAGGCCUAACACAUGCAAGUCGAACGGCAGCACAGUAAGAGCUUGCUCUUACGGGUGGCGCGUGGCGGACGGGUGAGGAAUACAUCGGAAUCUACUUUUUCGUGGGGGAUAACGUAGGGAAACUUACGCUAAUACCGCAUACGACCUACGGGUGAAAGCAGGGGAUCUUCGGACCUUGCGCGAUUGAAUGAGCCGAUGUCGGAUUAGCUAGUUGGCGGGGUAAAGGCCCACCAAGGCGACGAUCCGUAGCUGGUCUGAGAGGAUGAACAGCCACACUGGGACUGAGACACGGUCCACACUCCUACGGGAGGACGCAGUGGAGAAUAUUGGACAAUGGGCGAAUGCCUGAUCCAGCCAUACCGCGUGGAUGAAGAAGGCGUUCUGGUUGUAGAGCCCUUUUGUUGGGAAAGAAAAACAGCAGGUUAAUACCCCGUUGUUCUGACGGUACCCAAAGAAUAAGCACCGGCUAACUUCGUG